AAUAAUAAGACGAAUAGAAACGUCGUCGACGGCAAAAAAAUUAACGAUUUUAUUUCGAAACUUCUAGACGAAGGAAGCAUCGAGUUGUAACGCGAUAUGCAGGUUCUCUUAUUCGGAUUCAACGAUUUUCAACGAUAGCACGUGUCGAGGAUGUUUUUACGCUUACGCGAAGCCUCGUGCUUGCCAACUGUCGUCGCGGCGAAAAACGGUGAUCGGUGAUCGAUGACUUGGCCACCGGUACGAGGAAGCAAAGGAUAAUGACGCGUGGCAUGGAAAAAAGGAAGAAGCCCUGAAACGCGGAGAGAUAGAGGAAGAGGAGAACCGGAAUAAAGAAGUAGUGGCGUCUAAUUGAGGAUGAAUGCCUCGGGCAACGAGUCUCGCUUCUUCAAGACUGGAAGACUUGGAAGAGGCGUGCAUUACUGCGGCAGAUGGUGGUCGUGAUUGCAGCUGCUCCGCAACGAACACCUGCCGUUUUCUCCUCCGUCUAUCGAGAUGGACGAAAUCACUGUCCAGCCUCCUCCUUAUCUUCCUUUUUUCUUCAGCUUUUACUUUUUCCUAUCGCUAUCAGGACAAAAGUACGUCCCGUCUGAAAAAAAACGGACAGAGAUGGAUAUCGAUCUGUAAUAGAAAUUGUCGCGAAUGUUUCUUUUUUUCUUUUUUCUUUUUUUCCGAGUUUUUUUACGAGUACAGAGGAAAAGUGAUUUUUGCCACGAAACGGCGACGAAAAAUGGCGUUUUUUUUUUUAAAUAUCGGUGUCGCGAACGGGAAUGGGG